rnacentral:rRNA from 1 species
GAUGAACGCUGGCGGCGUGCCUAAUACAUGCAAGUCGAGCGAACAGACGAGGAGCUUGCUCCUCUGACGUUAGCGGCGGACGGGUGAGUAACACGUGGAUAACCUACCUAUAAGACUGGGAUAACUUCGGGAAACCGGAGCUAAUACCGGAUAAUAUAUUGAACCGCAUGGUUCAAUAGUGAAAGACGGUUUUGCUGUCACUUAUAGAUGGAUCCGCGCCGCAUUAGCUAGUUGGUAAGGUAACGGCUUACCAAGGCAACGAUGCGUAGCCGAGCUGAGAGGGUGAUCGGCCACACUGGAACUGAGACACGGUCCAGACUCCUACGGGAGGCAGCAGUAGGGAAGCUUCCGCAAUGGGCGAAAGCCUGACGGAGCAGCGCCGCGUGAGUGAUGAAGGUCUUCGGAUCGUAAGACUCUGUUAUUAGGGAAGAACAAAUGUGUAAGUAACUAUGCACGUCUUGACGGUACCUAAUCAGAAAGCCACGGCUAACUACGUG